rnacentral:rRNA from 1 species
GGACGAACGCUGGCGGCGUGCUUAACACAUGCAAGUCGAGCGGUAAGGCCCUUUCGGGGGUACACGAGCGGCGAACGGGUGAGUAACACGUGGGUGACCUGCCCUCAGCUCUGGGAUAAGCCUGGGAAACCGGGUCUAAUACUGGAUAUGACUCCAUGACGCAUGUUGUGGGGUGAAAGCCUUGUGCGGCUGAGGAUGGGCCC